GUCAACUUGAUUGGGACUCUAAAAUGAAAGCUCUGGAAAUAAUAAACUUGCAGAAAUAAUCCGUGAAGCUGUCGCUUUCGUCCUCAAGAAUUUGAAAACAAUUCCAUAGCAGACCGUGUCCAUACACUGAUGAGAUUAAUUAAGGCGAACAAAAUCUGGAGCAAAGCAUGCUACUUAAGGGAUUCGAUCCUGCGUUGCUGGACCUAAUCGUUCCCCUUUGCAGCCGAAAGCAAAAGGAAUCGCGAUUUGCGAGACAGAAGCUCAAGUACUGCAUGGUUAGGGUUUAGAGAAUGGUACAUACAGGAAGCUUUCCGCAGUGACAAAAAGAAUAUCUUUGAUGUGGAGUUGUAUAGGAAGCUCCAAUACUGCAGGCAAUUUCUCCGUCAAAGUGAACAAGGAUGAAAACGAAAGUGCUACACGCGCUGCACAGAAUUUCUCUACUCCAUGUCCAUCAAUUGAUGCGAUUCUUUCACUUUGCUUGUAGUUGCAGGUUCACAGAUUUGGCAAAACUAGGGUUUUAACAUAAGGCGAAUCUUCCACUUAGGGUUUUUAAAGUAUUGUAUUCUUCGAAAUUAAAUGAUUCAAGGAUCCUCCAAAGUUAUGUUCAAUCAAUUUAAUU